rnacentral:rRNA from 1 species
AUUGAACGCUGGCGGCAUGCCUUACACAUGCAAGUCGAACGGUAACAGGUCUUCGGAUGCUGACGAGUGGCGAACGGGUGAGUAAUACAUCGGAACGUGCCCGAUCGUGGGGGAUAACGAAGCGAAAGCUUUGCUAAUACUGCAUACGAUCUACGUAUGAAAGCAGGGGACCGCAAGGCCUUGCGCGAACGGAGCGGCAGGUGGCAGAUUAGGUAGUUGGUGGGGUAAAAGCUUACCAAGCCGACGAUAUGUAGCUGGUCUGAGAGGACGACCAGCCACACUGGGACUGAGACACGGCCAAGACUCCUACGGGAGGCAGCAGUGGGGAAUUUUGGACAAUGGGCGAAAGCCUGAUCCAGCCAUGCCGCGUGCAGGAUGAAGGCCUUCGGGUUGUAAACUGCUUUUGUACGGAACGAAAAGACUCUGGUUAAUACCUGGGGUCCAUGACGGUACCGUAAGAAUAAGCACCGGCUAACUACGUGCCAGCAGCCGCAGUAAUAC